rnacentral:rRNA from 1 species
AGCUCCAAUAGCGUAUAUUAAAGUUGCUGCAGUUAAAAAGCUCGUAGUUGCAUUUCCGAGGCAAGGGAUUAGUCCGACCUUUGGUGGGUAUUUAAUCCUCUUGCCUCGUCCUUGAGUGGUGCUUCUUGGUAUUAAGUUAUCGAGGAGAUAGCCGCUCAUCGUUUACUGUGAGAAAAUUAGAGUGUUCAAAGCAGGCUUAUGCCGUUGAAUAUAUUAGCAUGGAAUAAUAAGAUAGGACCUCGGUACUAGUUGGUUGGUUUGAGAACCAAGGUAAUGAUGAAUAGGGACAGUUGGGGGUAUUCGUAUUCAGUUGUCAGAGGUGAAAUUCUUAGAUUUACGGAAGACGAACUACUGCGAAAGCAUUUACCAAGGAUGUUUUCA